AUCGCUUCUCUGUCUUUUGGCUAGGAUCAAGUGUAGUAUCUGUUCUUAUCAGUUUAAUAUCUGAAACGUCCUCUAUCUGAGGGAAAUAUAUGAAGUGAAUUUUUGCAAGUAGAAGUUGGACUAGAAACUUGCUCCAUUCACUCCACGCAUCAACCUGGUAUUGCAGUACUUCCGGGAAUGGUGCAGCCCCU
ensembl:snRNA U2 U2 spliceosomal RNA